GGCACAUUAGCGCAGUGGUUAGCGCGUCGCGCUCAUAACGCGAAGGUCGUGGGUUCGAAUCCCGCAUGUGCCA